rnacentral:rRNA from 1 species
UCUGGUUGAUCCUGCCAGUAGUCAUAUGCUUGUCUCAAAGAUUAAGCCAUGCAUGUCUAAGUAUAAGCAAUUUAUACAGUGAAACUGCGAAUGGCUCAUUAAAUCAGUUAUCGUUUAUUUGAUAGUACCUUACUACUUGGAUAACCGUGGUAAUUCUAGAGCUAAUACAUGCUUAAAAUCCCGACUGUUUGGAAGGGAUGUAUUUAUUAGAUAAAAAAUCAAUGCCUUCGGGCUCUUUGAUGAUCCAUAAUAACUUUUCGAAUCGCAUGGCCUUGCGCUGGCGAUGGUUCAUUCAAAUUUCUGCCCUAUCAACUUUCGAUGGUAGGAUAGUGGCUUACCAUGGUUUCAACGGGUAACGGGGAAUAAGGGUUCGAUUCCGGAGAGGGAGCCUGAGAAACGGCUACCACAUCCAAGGAAGGCAGCAGGCGCGCAAAUUACCCAAUCCCGACACGGGGAGGUAGUGACAAUAAAUAACGAUACAGGGCCCUUUUGGGUCUUGUAAUUGGAAUGAGUACAAUGUAAAUACCUUAACGAGGAACAAUUGGAGGGCAAGUCUGGUA